ACGAACGCUGGCGGCAGGCUUAACACAUGCAAGUCGAGCGGAUCCUUCGGGAUUAGUGGCAGACGGGUGAGUAACGCGUGGGAACGUACCCUUUGCUACGGAAUAACUCAGGGAAACUUGAGCUAAUACCGUAUGUGCCCUACGGGGGAAAGAUUUAUCGGCAAAGGAUCGGCCCGCGUUGGAUUAGCUAGUUGGUGGGGUAAUGGCCUACCAAGGCGACGAUCCAUAGCUGGUCUGAGAGGAUGAUCAGCCACACUGGGACUGAGACACGGCCCAGACUCCUACGGGAGGCAGCAGUGGGGAAUAUUGGACAAUGGGCGCAAGCCUGAUCCAGCCAUGCCGCGUGAGUGAUGAAGGUCUUAGGAUUGUAAAGCUCUUUCACCGGUGAAGAUAAUGACGGUAGCCGGAGAAGAAGCCCCGGCUAACUUCGUG
rnacentral:rRNA from 1 species